UACGAAGGGUGCAAACGUUGCUCGGAAUCAUUGGGCGUAAAGCGCACGUAGGCGGCUUCGCAAGUCGGAUGUGAAAUCCCUCGGCUCAACCGAGGACGUGCAUACGAAACUGCGGAGCUUGAGUGCUGAAGAGGAUCGCGGAAUUCCCGGUGUAGAGGUGAAAUUCGUAGAUAUCGGGAGGAACACCAGUGGCGAAGGCGGCGAUCUGGGCAGACACUGACGCUGAGGUGCGAAAGCGUGGGGAGCAAACAGG
rnacentral:rRNA from 1 species